rnacentral:rRNA from 1 species
CAGCAGCCGCGGUAAUGCGUAGGUGGCAAGCGUUGUCCGGAAUUAUUGGGCGUAAAGGGCUCGCAGGCGGUUUCUUAAGUCUGGUGUGAAAGCCCCCGGCUCAACCGGGGAGGGUCAUUGGAAACUGGGAAACUUGAGUGCAGAAGAGGAGAGUGGAAUUCCACGUGUAGCGGUGAAAUGCGUAGAGAUGUGGAGGAACACCAGUGGCGAAGGCGACUCUCUGGUCUGUAACUGACGCUGAGGAGCGAAAGCGUGGGGAGCGAACAGGAUUAGAUACCCCUGUAGUCCCUGUCUCUUAUAA